AUAUCAAUAAGCGGAGGAAAAGAAACCAACAGGGAUUGCCUUAGUAACGGCGAGUGAAGCGGCAAAAGCUCAAAUUUGAAAUCUGGCACCUUCGGUGUCCGAGUUGUAAUUUGAAGAAGGUAACUUUGGAGUCAGCUCUUGUCUAUGUUCCUUGGAACAGGACGUCACAGAGGGUGAGAAUCCCGUGCGAUGAGAUGUCUGAUUCUAUGUAAAGUGCUUUCGAAGAGUCGAGUUGUUUGGGAAUGCAGCUCUAAGUGGGUGGUAAAUUCCAUCUAAAGCUAAAUAUUGGCGAGAGACCGAUAGCGAACAAGUACAGUGAUGGAAAGAUGAAAAGAACUUUGAAAAGAGAGUGAAAAAGUACGUGAAAUUGUUGAAAGGGAAGGGUUUGAGAUCAGACUUGGUAUUUUGUAUGUCUUGCUUUCGGGUGGGGCCUCUACAGUUUACUGGGCCAGCAUCGGUUUGGACGGUAGGAUAAUGACAUUGGAAUGUGGCACCACUUCGGUGGUGUGUUAUAGACUUUGUUGAUACUGCCUGUCUAGACCGAGGACUGCGUCUUUGACUAGGAUGCUGGCA
rnacentral:rRNA from 1 species